AGAGAUUGGUUCAUCAGAAAAUCCUGUUCAGAAUUAACUCUGAAGAAUCAGGGACUCAAUUUGUACAUCAAGAAAAGCACCAGAACUGUGGGGUUUUCACUGAAUGCUGAGGACAGGAAAGAGGAGUCUGAAGAAUGGAUACAUCCAAGUGUUUUUUAAUGAUUGAUAAAAAGAAAUCAAAAGAAAGUUCACACAGAAAUUUCACUUUUCUAGGAGACUGACUAAUGUACACCUUGAGGAAACUAUAGGAAUUUCCAAGACUUGUUUGGGACAAUACAUGUGAAGUAGGUUUCCUAAGAUGUACUUGGAAAGCCUUUAGAAGCUACACCUGGGGAGAGAAAACCAUUGUCUACUGAUUACUUACUCAGAAACUGCAGAUCAAAGACCUAAAAUUGUAUAAAGGAGGGAAUAAACUUCUCAUGAGGGUGCUAGUUAUGUGCUGAGGCUGUUAUGAACUUGUGACCAUA